UUCCCAGGUAUACCACCAAGUGGCGCUGUGGCCCCGUGAAACCAUUUUCCUGCGGAACGUCGUUUGUUUCCAUUGCACACCUGAUUUGGCCAAACAUCAGCUCUUCGCCCAUUUGGAAGGGAGAUAAACACGGCAGCCAAGUGGAGAGGAAGCUGAAUUGAGCUUGAAUAUCAAUCUCUCUGCGUCGGUGUCAUUGCCAGGUGACUUUGGCUGGAGUGGAGGUGCCUCACUAAGGUUCGACGUCCAGGUCCCCCAAAACAUCCUGGAAGGCCCUCACCUCCAAAAGACCUCACCUCCAAACAUACAGACUGGGCCAAAUAGAGAAGGCGUGGUUUGGACGGACACUGAUGCACAGACUCUGUCUGCUCGAAUGCACACCCAAGAUCAAACAGACCUGCCCACCAAAGCAAAGUGAGCACCCGGAUAAGGGCGAAAGAAAAGAGGGCCCGGUUGGAGCAGAAGAGAGACGCCGGCCGGCGCUGCUCUGCAGUCGAGAGGCGGGAGCGAAAAGGUCUGCUGAAGAAUUACCCGAUCAACAGGAAGUCUGGAGCACCGCAUGACCUGAUGUCGUCUGUUCGGAUGAGAGGCGAAACCGCAACAGUCCAGACGCGAUCGAUUCACCGCCCUGCGAAUGGAAUGAGGAAAUUCAGUGGCAAGACGAGACUCCGCCUGCCAGCUCCUCACAUCACUCCACCAAUCUGAUGAACUGUACCAACCUCAGAUUAACCUUCAACCUCCCCUUUGUCACUGGAGGUGAGCCACAC